UACGGAGGGUGCAAGCGUUAAUCGGAAUUACUGGGCGUAAAGCGCGCGUAGGCGGUUUUUUAAGUCGGAUGUGAAAGCCCCGGGCUCAACCUGGGAACUGCAUCCGAUACUGGAAGACUAGAAUGCGGGAGAGGGAGGUAGAAUUCCAUGUGUAGCAGUGAAAUGCGUAGAUAUAUGGAGGAAUACCAGUGGCGAAGGCGGCCUCCUGGCUCGACAUUGGCGCUGAGGUGCGAAAGCGUGGGGAGCAAACGGG
rnacentral:rRNA from 1 species